AGUUUAUUAUUCAUUUAAGGAAAUAUGUUUUGAAAACAUAUAAAAGAAAUUAAAAUUUCUAUAAACUU
rnacentral:tRNA from 1 species